rnacentral:misc_RNA from 1 species
GCAAACUUGGUCAUUUAGAGGAAGUAAAAGUCGUAACAAGGUUUCCGUAGGUGAACCUGCGGAAGGAUCAUUACACAUCUGGGGCGCUUCGGCGCCCCUUAUACCACCCACCCUCUGCCUACGCGUACCUCUAUAGCUUCCUCGGCGGGCUCGCCCGCCGCCAGGAACCCACGAAACCCCUUGCAUUAUGCGCGAAAACUUCUGAUACAAACCUAAAUUAUCACAACUUUCAACAAUGGAUCUCUUGGUUCUGGCAUCGAUGAAGAACGCAGC